GAUGAACGCUGGCGGCGUGCCUAAUACAUGCAAGUCGAGCGAACAGACGAGGAGCUUGCUCCUCUGACGUUAGCGGCGGACGGGUGAGUAACACGUGGAUAACCUACCUAUAAGACUGGGAUAACUUCGGGAAACCGGAGCUAAUACCGGAUAAUAUAUUGAACCGCAUGGUUCAAUAGCGAAAGACGGUUUUGCUGUCACUUAUAGAUGGAUCCGCGCCGCAUUAGCUAGUUGGUAAGGUAACGGCUUACCAAGGCAACGAUGCGUAGCCGACCUGAGAGAGUGGUCGGCCACCCUGGAACUGAGACACGGUCCAGACUCCUACGGGAGGCAGCAGUAGGGAAUCUUCCGCAAUGGGCGAAAGCCUGACGGAGCAACGCCGCGUGAGUGAUGAAGGUCUUCGGAUCGUAAAACUCUGUUAUUAGGGAAGAACAAAUGUGUAAGUAACUAUGCACGUCGUGACGGUACCUAAUCAGAAAGCCACGGCUAACUACGUG
rnacentral:rRNA from 1 species